AUGUUGCAGGAGGAUGGGGGUAUUGAUGAAGAUGUGAACCAUCGAAUCAAAGCCGGAUGGAUGAAGUGGCGCCAAGCUUCUGGCAUUCUCUGUGACAAGAGAGUGCCACAAAAGCUAAAAGGCAAGUUCUACAGGACGGCGGUUCGACCCGCAAUGUUGUAUGGCGCGGAGUGUUGGCCGACUAAAAGGCGACAUGUUCAACAGUUAGGUGUGACGGAGAUGCGUAUGUUGAGAUGGAUGUGUGGCCACACGAGGAAGGAUCGAGUCCGAAAUAAUGAUAUACGAGAUAGAGUUGGGGUAGCACCAAUUGAGGAGAAGCUUGUCCAACAUCGUUUGAGAUGGUUUGGGCAUAUUCAGCGCAGGCCUCCAAAAGCUCCAGUGCAUAGCGGACGGCUAAAGCGUGCGGAGAAUGUCAAGAGAGGGCGGGGUCGACCGAUUUUGACAUGGGAGGAGUCCGUUAAGAGAGACCUGAAGAAUUGGAGUAUCGACAAAGAGCUAGCUAUGGACAGGGGUGCGUGGAAGCUUGCUAUCCAUGUGCCAGAGCCAUGA
rnacentral:rRNA from 1 species